UGCACUCACUACUGUAAGUCGCUCUGGAUAAGAGCGUCUGCUAAAUGACUGAAA
rfam:Salmo salar isolate Sally breed double haploid chromosome ssa25, whole genome shotgun sequence.